rnacentral:lncRNA from 12 species
UUUAAGCUACAGAUGAUUCUGGAAUUGCUGGAAUCAGGAUGCACAGACCACAGCUGGAAGCCUUUAUCGAUUCCAUUUCAUGACAUUUAUUAAGUUGGAAAUAUGAGAAGUGGGUAGGCAUCUAUCGUUAAAUGAGAUAAAACAUAUAAAAUACCAGGCACUGAAAUGAACAUUUGCUACCCUCUCUUCCACGCAACCCCAUGGGGAAGAAGAUUAACAGGCAAUCACUCAAAUUGUCACUGAUCAUUUCUUGGGUUCCUGGAACCUGGAACCAGAGUGAUGUUUGGGAUGUGAGGAGCUUCUUUCAUAGGCGGAGUCUAGAAUUGUAUCAGAAGAAAGGAAAAAUUAAUGGAAAAUGACUUGAUCUUACACCCGAUCGUUUGGAACAUUCCAAAGCCAAGAGAGGCCUUUCUUGUCACACGUGAUUUCAUGAUAAUUAGGGCCAGCUGUGCCUGGGCAAUUCAGGUCAAACCAGAUGCCAAACCCAACUCAAACACUUGCAGGAAGAUCUUGAUCGUCAAGAGCCUUCAAACAUCCUGUAGAAAAUCAAAAGAAGGUAUACAUUGGUGGCUUGAUAACUUCAUUUUGUGCGCUCUAAUUUUUCCUCCGUAUUCAAGACCAGCAAAGCAGGUAGUAGCUCUAUGCCCAGUGAGGCAUCUCCAUGCCAGGGUUUGUGUUUGUGCCAAGGUGGGAAGGAGCAAGAGGCAGAAGAAGCCCAGAGAGAUCGGACCCAAGACACAAAGUGAGGAGAGGAGGCAUCGCUGCCACACUGGGUGGCUGUUCAUUCUUUUUUAG